rnacentral:rRNA from 1 species
AGCUCCAAUAGCGUAUAUUAAAGUUGUUGCAGUUAAAAAGCUCGUAGUUGGAUCUCGGGUCCAGGCUUGCGGUUCUGCUCGUGCAGAUACUGCUCGUCCUGACCUACCUGCCGGUGUUCCCCUGGUGCCCUUAGCUGGGUGUCUCGGGUGGCCGGAACGUUUACUUUGAAAAAAUUAGAGUGUUCAAAGCAGGCAGUCUGCCUGAAUAAUGGUGCAUGGAAUAAUAGAAAAGGACCUCGGUUCUAUUUUGUUGGUUUUCGGAAAUUGAGGUAAUGAUUAAGAGGGACAGACGGGGGCAUUCGUAUUACGGUGUUAGAGGUGAAAUUCUUGGAUCGCCGUAAGACGAACUACUGCGAAAGCAUUUGCCAAGAAUGUUUUCA